rnacentral:tRNA from 1 species
UGGAGAGUAGAGGGUGCUUGGUGGCCCCCGCGGUCUUCAAAACCGCCGUCAGGUCGCGCAAGCGGCUUGAGAUAAGUUCGAUUCCUAUCCUCUCC